AGAGGGUAUGGGAGUUGGAUUGAUGGGAGGCCUAAAUUCCUUUGGAGAUUGGAAUGUCUCGGUCAUUGUGUCAAUUGUUGGGACCGAGCGAUGCUUUGAAACUUGAGGUGGCUCUUGGGGACUUUCGGAAUGGGGAGGGUGAGGAAAUGAUAGAAAAAUGAGAAAAUUUCUUGGUAAGAUAAAUCUGAGGUCUCAGCCUAUGACGAAUCGGCAGUGUCAAUAGCAUCGUCAAGCAAUUCAUCUCUUUCAGAUGUCAUAUGGACCAAAUAGACAACUCUUAAUCACUCAAGGACUCCUCAUGAUUCAAGAAGAAAAUAGAUUCAAUUCAAUGUGAUUUGGUACUCCAUAGUUGGCCUCUAUUUCCACACUCGCCCUAUGAUUCAAUUGGGCUCAUGUUCUUGAUUGGCUCAAUUCACCCAAAGGAUGAAGACUCGAUCUCCACGCGUGCCCCAUGAUUUAAUUGGGGUCAAUAUA
rnacentral:lncRNA from 1 species